rnacentral:tRNA from 1 species
GCCUGGGUGGCUCAGUCGGUUAAGCGUCUGACUUUGGCUUAGGUCAUGAUCUCACGGCUUGUGGGUUUGAGCCCCACAUCAGGCU